rnacentral:rRNA from 1 species
AGGACAAACGCUGGCGGCGUACUUAAGACAUGCAAGUCGAACGGGCGCUUCACCUUCGGGUGGGUGUGCUAGUGGCGGACGGGUGAGUAACGCGUAGGAACCUGUCAUCAAGAGGGGGAUAACGCUGGGAAACCGGCGCUAAUACCGCAUGUGGUCAUGAAAAUGAAGAAAGCAGCAAUGCGCUUGAUGAGGGGCCUGCGUCCGAUUAGCUUGUUGGUGGGGUAAAGGCCUACCAAGGCAUCGAUCGGUAGCUGGUCUGAGAGGAUGGUCAGCCACACUGGGACUGAGACACGGCCCAGACUCCUACGGGAGGCAGCAGUUAGGAAAUUUUCCCAAUGGGCGCAAGCCUGAGGGAGUAACGCCGCGUGGAGGAUGACGGCUUUCGGGUUGUAAACUCCUUUCUGUGGAAGAGUAGAAGACGGUACCGCAGGAAUAAGCCUCGGCUAACUACGCGCCAGCAGCCGC